rfam:Gossypium raimondii Chr05_contig_794, whole genome shotgun sequence.
AGUCCAGGAUGUAGGCAUUUCUGAAUUAGCAUUUUAAAACGUUCCCAAGCUUCAUGAAAACAUUUUCCUUCUAACUAUUUAAAUAUGGUGAUCUCUCUCCUUAGUUG